UAUUGGACAAUGGGCGAAAGCCUGAUCCAGCAAUGCCGCAUGAGUGAUGAAGGCCUCAGGGUUGUAAAGCUCUUUUACCCGGGAUGAUAAUGACAGUACCGGGAGAAUAAGCUCCGGCUAACUCCGUGCCAGCAGCCGCGGUAAUACGGAGGGAGCUAGCGUUGUUCGGAAUUACUGGGCGUAAAGCGCACGUAGGCGGCUUUGUAAGUUAGAGGUGAAAGCCUGGAGCUCAACUCCAGAAUUGCCUUUGAUACUGCAUCGCUUGAAUCCAGGAGAGGUGAGUGGAAUUCCGAGUGUAGAGGUGAAAUUCGUAGAUAUUCGGAAGAACACCAGUGGCGAAGGCGGCUCACAGGACUGGUAUUGACGCUGAGGUGCGAAA
rnacentral:rRNA from 1 species